GACGAACGCUGGCGGCGUGCUUAACACAUGCAAGUCGAACGAUGAAGCCGGAGCUUGCUCUGGUGAAUUAGUGGCGAACGGGUGAGUAACACGUGAGUAACCUGCCCUUGACUCUGGGAUAACUGCGGGAAACUGUAGCUAAUACCGGAUACGACCCUCGGAGGCAUCUCCCGGGGGUGGAAAGAAUUUCGGUCAAGGAUGGACUCGCGGCCUAUCAGCUAGUUGGUGAGGUAAAGGCUCACCAAGGCGACGACGGGUAGCCGGCCUGAGAGGGUGACCGGCCACACUGGGACUGAGACACGGCCCAGACUCCUACGGGAGGCAGCAGUGGGGAAUAUUGCACAAUGGGCGCAAGCCUGAUGCAGCAACGCCGCGUGAGGGAUGACGGCCUUCGGGUUGUAAACCUCUUUAGCAGGGAAGAAGCGAAAGUGACGGUACCUGCAGAAAAAGCACCGGCUAACUACGUGCCAGCCGCCGCAGUAA
rnacentral:rRNA from 1 species